AUGAAUCAAUUCGCCCCUCAGCAAUCGUCGCUCGCCAUGGACUCAGGGGAGAGCUCCGCCGCCUCCAACGCCGCCCACGCGGCAAUGGCCGUCGACUACGCCCCCGAGGUCGCCGGCUGCGUUUCGUCCAUGGUCGACCUCGGCUGCGCCGCCGGCGUGGAGAGCCAGCGCCUGUUCCUGGCGCGCCGCACGGCGCUGGAGAUGCUGCGGGACCGCGGGUACAGCGUACCGGAGGACGAGCUCGCCCGCACCCUCCCGGAGUUCCGCGCGUGGUGGUCCGAGACGCCCGAGAUCGAGCGCCUCUCCUUUUCCACAACCCUCGCCUCCGACGAGUCCAACAAGGUGCGAAUUGUGUUCUGCCCACCUGAGCCCGUCAAAAUCGCAGCCAUCCGGGAGGUGUAUGUCCGAAUCAAAGAAGAGAACUUGUCUUGCCUGAUUCUGAUUUUGCAGAGCAAAAUAACAUCUAGAGCUAGGGAGUCCAUCAAGGAGAUGUUCAAAUUCAAAGUAGAUGUAUUCCAGAUCACAGAGUUACUGGUGAACAUUACUAAGCAUGUCCUGAAGCCCAAGCAUGAAGUGCUGACUGCAGAAGAAAAAGCGAAGCUCCUGAAGCAGUACAAUGUGGUGGAUUCACAGUUGCCUCGCAUGCUAGAGACCGAUGCUGUUGCGCGCUACUAUGGCCUUGGCAAGGGAACCGUGGUGAAAUUCACAUAUGACAGCGAGCUCACCGUCGACCAUGUGACAUACAGAUGUAUCUUCUGA
rnacentral:rRNA from 1 species